rnacentral:rRNA from 1 species
CUGAGUGGCGGACGGGUGAGUAACGCGUGGGUAACCUGCCUUGUACAGGGGGAUAACAGUUGGAAACGGCUGCUAAUACCGCAUAAGCCCACGGUGCCGCAUGACACUGAGGGAAAAGGAUUUAUUCGCUUUAGGAUGGACUCGCGUCCAAUUAGCUAGUUGGUGAGGUAACGGCCCACCAAGGCGACGAUUGGUAGCCGGACUGAGAGGUUGAACGGCCACAUUGGGACUGAGACACGGCCCAGACUCCUACGGGAGGCAGCAGUGGGGGAUAUUGCACAAUGGGGGAAACCCUGAUGCAGCGACGCCGCGUGGAGGAAGAAGGUUUUCGGAUUGUAAACUCCUGUCGUUAGGGACGAUAAUGACGGUACCUAACAAGAAAGCACCGGCUAACUACGUGCCAGCAGCCGCGGUAAAACGUAGGGUGCAAGCGUUGUCCGGAAUUACUGGGUGUAAAGGGAGCGCAGGCGGACCGGCAAGUUGGAAGUGAAAUCCAUGGGCUCAACCUGUGGACUGCAUUGGAAACUGUCAUACUUGAGUGCCGGAGGGGUAAGCGGAAUUCCUAGUGUAGCGGUGAAAUGCGUAGAUAUUAGGAGGAACACCAGUGGCGAAGGCGGCUUACUGGACGGUAACUGACGUUGAGGCUCGAAAGCGUGGGGAGCAAACAGGAUUAGAUACC